rnacentral:rRNA from 1 species
AGUGAACGCUGGCGGUAGGCCUAACACAUGCAAGUCGAACGGCAGCACAGUAAGAGCUUGCUCUUACGGGUGGCGAGUGGCGGACGGGUGAGGAAUACAUCGGAAUCUACUUUUUCGUGGGGGAUAACGUAGGGAAACUUACGCUAAUACCGCAUACGACCUACGGGUGAAAGCAGGGGAUCUUCGGACCUUUCGCGAUUGAAUGAGCCGAUGUCGGAUUAGCUAGUUGGCUGGGUAAAGGCCCACCAAGGCGACGAUCCGUAGCUGGUCUGAGAGGAUGAUCAGCCACACUGGAACUGAGACACGGUCCAGACUCCUACGGGAGGCAGCAGUAGGGAAUAUUGGACAAUGGGCGCAAGCCUGAUCCAGCCAUACCGCGUGGGUGAAGAAGGCCUUCGGGUUGUAAAGCCCUUUUGUUGGGAAAGAAAAGCAGCAGGUUAAUACCCCGCUGUUCUGACGGUACCCAAAGAAUAAGCACCGGCUAACUUCGUG